rnacentral:piRNA from 1 species
UGAGAUGAAAUUAGAGGCAGAGGCCACAGC